rnacentral:rRNA from 1 species
UACAGAGGUCUCAAGCGUUUGUUCGGGAUUCAUUGGGCGUAAAGGGUGCGUAGGCGGCGCGGUAAGUCGGGUGUGAAAUCUCGGGGCUUAACUCCGAAACUGCAUUCGAUACUGCCGUGCUUGAGGACUGGAGAGGAGACUGGAAUUUACGGUGUAGCGGUGAAAUGCGUAGAUAUCGUAAGGAAGACCAGUGGCGAAGGCGGGUCUCUGGACAGUUCCUGACGCUGAGGCACGAAGGUCAGGGGGAGCAAACGGG